GGGUUGUGAGGUUAAGCGACUAAGCGUACACGGUGGAUGCCUAGGCAAUCAGAGGCGAUGAAGGACGUGCUAAUCUGCGAUAAGCGUCGGUAAGGUGAUAUGAACCGUUACAACCGACGAUUUCCGAAUGGGGAAACCCAGUGCAAUUCGUUGCACUAUCGUUUGAUGAAUACAUAGUCAAACGAAGCGAACCGGGGGAACUGAAACAUCUCAGUACCCCGAGGAAAAGAAAUCAACCGAGAUUCCCCUAGUAGCGGCGAGCGAACGGGGAGCAGCCCAGAGUCUUAAUCAGCAUUAGCAUCAGGAGAACGGUCUGGAAAGUCCGGCAGUAAAGGGUGAUAGCCCCGUAUCCGAAGGUGUUAGUGUUGUGAACUCGACGAGUAGGGCGGGACACGUGUUAUCCUGUCUGAAUAUGGGGGGACCAUCCUCCAAGGCUAAAUACUCCUGAUUGACCGAUAGUGAACCAGUACCGUGAGGGAAAGGCGAAAAGAACCCCGGCGAGGGGAGUGAAAUAGAACCUGAAACCGUGUACGUACAAGCAGUGGGAGCCCCAUCACUCAAGUGCCUCGGCAAUUGAGUGAGGGUGUAAAACCAUCACAAUAACAGCGCAGGAUUUGCCAACAAGAUUGGCUGAUUUUUUCAAGCCGCAGCGCAGUGGACAUCGAAGUCCAUGAGCAGCGGAAGUUAAAAAAUCGGGCAAGAUUGGCCGCAAAGACAAGCGGGACAUUUGAGGAUGGGGUGACUGCGUACCUUUUGUAUAAUGGGUCAGCGACUUAUAUUCUGUAGCAAGGUUAACCGUAUAGGGGAGCCGUAGGGAAACCGAGUCUUAACUGGGCGAAUGAGUUGCAGGGUAUAGACCCGAAACCCGGUGAUCUAGCCAUGGGCAGGUUGAAGGUUGGGUAACACUAACUGGAGGACCGAACCGACUAAUGUUGAAAAAUUAGCGGAUGACUUGUGGCUGGGGGUGAAAGGCCAAUCAAACCGGGAGAUAGCUGGUUCUCCCCGAAAGCUAUUUAGGUAGCGCCUCGUGAACUCAUCUUCGGGGGUAGAGCACUGUUUCGACUAGGGGGUCAUCCCGACUUACCAACUCGAUGCAAACUACGAAUACCGAAGAAUGUUAUCACGGGAGACACACGGCGGGUGCUAACGUUCGUCGUGAAGAGGGAAACAACCCAGACCGCCAGCUAAGGUCCCAAAGUCAUAGUUAAGUGGGAAACGAAGUGGGAAGGCUCAGACAGCCAGGAUGUUGGCUUAGAAGCAGCCAUCAUUUAAAGAAAGCGUAAUAGCUCACUGGUCGAGUCGGCCUGCGCGGAAGAUGUAACGGGGCUAAACUAUGCACCGAAGCUGCGGCAGCGAUAUUUAGAUAUUGUUGGGUAGGGGAGCGUUCUGUAAGCCUGUGAAGGUGUACUGUGAGGUAUGCUGGAGGUAUCAGAAGUGCGAAUGCUGACAUAAGUAACGAUAAUGCGGGUGAAAAACCCGCACGCCGGAAGACCAAGGGUUCCUGUCCAACGUUAAUCGGGGCAGGGUGAGUCGACCCCUAAGGCGAGGCAGAAAUGCGUAGUCGAUGGGAAACGGGUUAAUAUUCCCGUACUGGUGAUAAUUGCGAUGGGGGGACGGAGAAGGCUAGGCUAUCCGGGCGACGGUUGUCCCGGUUUAAGAAUGUAGGCAGGUGAAUUAGGCAAAUCCGGUUCACUACAUGCUGAGGUUCGAUGACGAGUCACUACGGUGAUGAAGUAGCUCAUGCCCCGCUUCCAGGAAAAGCCUCUAAGCUCUAGAUUAUCAUUAAUCGUACCCCAAACCGACACAGGUGGUCAGGUAGAGAAUACUCAGGCGCUUGAGAGAACUCGGGUGAAGGAACUAGGCAAAAUGGUGCCGUAACUUCGGGAGAAGGCACGCUGGCGCUAGGUGAAGUCCCUCGCGGAUGGAGCUGAAGCCAGUCGCAGAUACCAGCUGGCUGCAACUGUUUAUUAAAAACACAGCACUGUGCAAACACGAAAGUGGACGUAUACGGUGUGACGCCUGCCCGGUGCUGGAAGGUUAAUUGAUGGGGUUAUCCGUAAGGAGAAGCUCUUGAUCGAAGCCCCAGUAAACGGCGGCCGUAACUAUAACGGUCCUAAGGUAGCGAAAUUCCUUGUCGGGUAAGUUCCGACCUGCACGAAUGGCGUAAUGAUGGCCAGGCUGUCUCCACCCGAGACUCAGUGAAAUUGAACUCGCUGUGAAGAUGCAGUGUACCCGCGGCAAGACGGAAAGACCCCGUGAACCUUUACUAUAGCUUGACACUGAACAUUGAGCCUUGAUGUGUAGGAUAGGUGGGAGGCUUCGAAGCGUGGACGCCAGUCUGCGUGGAGCCAACCUUGAAAUACCACCCUUUAAUGUUUGAUGUUCUAACGUUGCCCCAUUAUCUGGGGUGCGGACAGUGUCUGGUGGGUAGUUUGACUGGGGCGGUCUCCUCCCAAAGAGUAACGGAGGAGCACGAAGGUUGGCUAAGCAUGGUCGGACAUCAUGCGGUUAGUGCAAAGGCAUAAGCCAGCUUGACUGCGAGAGUGACGGCUCGAGCAGGUACGAAAGUAGGUCUUAGUGAUCCGGUGGUUCUGAAUGGAAGGGCCAUCGCUCAACGGAUAAAAGGUACUCCGGGGAUAACAGGCUGAUACCGCCCAAGAGUUCAUAUCGACGGCGGUGUUUGGCACCUCGAUGUCGGCUCAUCACAUCCUGGGGCUGAAGUAGGUCCCAAGGGUACGGCUGUUCGCCGUUUAAAGUGGUACGCGAGCUGGGUUUAGAACGUCGUGAGACAGUUCGGUCCCUAUCUGCCGUGGGCGUUGGAAGAUUGAAAGGGGCUGCUCCUAGUACGAGAGGACCGGAGUGGACGCACCACUGGUGUUCGGGUUGUCAUGCCAAUGGCAUUGCCCGGUAGCUAAGUGCGGAAGAGAUAACCGCUGAAAGCAUCUAAGCGGGAAACUUGCCUUGAGAUGAGUCUUCCCUGACCCUUUAAGGGUCCUAAAGGAACGUUUAAGACUAAGACGUUGAUAGGUUGGGUGUGUAAGCAUAGCGAUAUGUUGAGCUAACCAAUACUAAUGAACCGUGAGGCUUAACCUGACAACACCGAAGGUGUUUUAG
rnacentral:rRNA from 1 species